UUUUAGAGUUUGAUUCCUGGCUCAGAUUGAACGCUGGCGGCAGGCCUAACACAUGCAAGUCGAGCGGAAACGACACUAACAAUCCUUCGGGUGCGUUAAUGGGCGUCGAGCGGCGGACGGGUGAGUAAUGCCUAGGAAAUUGCCUUGAUGUGGGGGAUAACCAUUGGAAACGAUGGCUAAUACCGCAUGAUGCCUACGGGCCAAAGAGGGGGACCUUCGGGCCUCUCGCGUCAAGAUAUGCCUAGGUGGGAUUAGCUAGUUGGUGAGGUAAUGGCUCACCAAGGCGACGAUCCCUAGCUGGUCUGAGAGGAUGAUCAGCCACACUGGAACUGAGACACGGUCCAGACUCCUACGGGAGGCAGCAGUGGGGAAUAUUGCACAAUGGGCGCAAGCCUGAUGCAGCCAUGCCGCGUGUAUGAAGAAGGCCUUCGGGUUGUAAAGUACUUUCAGUUGUGAGGAAGGGGGUAGUGUUAAUAGCGCUAUCUCUGGACGUAGCAACAGAAGAGCACCGCA
rnacentral:rRNA from 1 species